rnacentral:rRNA from 1 species
GAUACGCGAGGAACUUACCUGGGCUCGAACGUAAGAUGACUGUAGGUGAAAGCUUACAUCUCUUCGGAGCAUUUUACGAGGUGCUGCAUGGUUGUCGUCAGCUCGUGCCGUGAGGUGUCGGGUUAAGUCCCAUAACGAGCGCAACCCCUACCUUUAGUUGCCAUCAGGUUAAGCUGGGGACUCUAAAGGAACUGCCUACGCAAGUAGUGAGGAAGCGGGGAUGACGUCAAAUCAGCACGGCCCUUACGUCCAGGGCUACACACGUGCUACAAUGGCCGAUACAGAGGGCAGCUACCUGGUGACAGGAUGCAAAUCUCCAAAGUCGGUCUCAGUUCGGAUCGGAGUCUGCAACCCGACUCCGUGAAGUUGGAUUCGCUAGUAAUCGCGCAUCAGCCAUGGCGCGGUGAAUACGUUCCCGGGCCUU